ACGCUCGACACCUACGGGAGGCGGCAGUGGGGAAUAUUGCACAAUGGGGGAAACCCUGAUGCAGCGACGCCGCGUGAGCGAAGAAGUAUUUCGGUAUGUAAAGCUCUAUCAGCAGGGAAGAAACUGACGGUACCUGACUAAGAAGCACCGGCUAAAUACGUGCCAGUAGCCGCGGUAAUCUGAGCGGGCUGGCAAGGC
rnacentral:rRNA from 1 species